AAGGAUAUUAGUUUAAUGGUAAAACUAGAUGUUUCGGCCAUCUUGAUGGCAGUUCAAGUCUGCAAUAUCCUUA
rnacentral:tRNA from 3 species